rnacentral:rRNA from 1 species
UCCUACGGGAGGCAGCAGUGAGGAAUAUUGGACAAUGGGCGCAAGCCUGAUCCAGCCAUGCCGCGUGCAGGAAGACUGCCCUAUGGGUUGUAAACUGCUUUUAUACAGGAAGAAACACCUCUACGUGUAGAGGCUUGACGGUACUGUAAGAAUAAGCAUCGGCUAACUCCGUGCCAGCAGCCGCGGUAAUACGGAGGGGGUUAGCGUUGUUCGGAAUUACUGGGCGUAAAGCGCGCGUAGGCGGAUUAGAAAGUUGGGGGUGAAAUCCCGGGGCUCAACCCCGGAACUGCCUCCAAAACUGCUAGUCUAGAGUUCGAGAGAGGUGAGUGGAAUUCCGAGUGUAGAGGUGAAAUUCGUAGAUAUUCGGAGGAACACCAGUGGCGAAGGCGGCUCACUGGCUCGAUACUGACGCUGAGGUGCGAAAGUGUGGGGAGCAAACAGGAUUAGAUACCCUGGUAGUCCACACCGUAAACGAUGAAUGCCAGUCGUCGGGUAGUAUACUAUUCGGUGACACACCUAACGGAUUAAGCAUUCCGCCUGGGGAGUACGGUCGCAAGAUUAAAACUCAAAGGAAUUGACGGA